GGGUGGAGCUGGAAGUCUCUACCCUCUGAUCAUGCCUUUCAGCCACUGCCAUGGGGGAUCUCCACAAGCGACCUCCCUCAUACCCGCUGCUCGGCUGCCAUGUGCAGACCAGGUCCUACUGCACUUCCCGCAGGCCACUGGAACCAAGAUGGACACAGAACCUGAGGAAAGAAUCAGUAUAUUGCACCUCACCAGGGACCCAGA